CUACGGGAGGCUCCAGUAAGGAAUAUUGCGCAAUGGAGGCAACUCUGACGCAGCCAUGCCGCGUGCAGGAAGAAGGCCUUAUGGGUCGUAAACUGCUUUUAUUUAGGAAUAAACCCCCGAACGUGUUCGGGGCUGAAGGUACUAAACGAAUAAGCACCGGCUAACUCCGUGCCAGCAGCCGCGGUAAUACGGAGGGUGCAAGCGUUAUCCGGAUUUAUUGGGUUUAAAGGGUGCGCAGGCGGGCUAUUAAGUCAGUGGUGAAAUCCCGGGGCUCAACUCCGGAACUGGCAUUGAUACUGAUAGUCUUGAGUUUGGUUGAAGUGGGCGGAAUGUAGCAUGUAGCGGUGAAAUGCAUAGAUAUGCUACAGAACACCAAUCGCGAAGGCAGCUCACUAAGCCAAAACUGACGCUCAUGCACGAAAGCGUGGGGAUCAAACAGGAUUAGAUACCCGAGUAGUC
rnacentral:rRNA from 1 species